GACGAACGCUGGCGGCGUGCUUAACACAUGCAAGUCGAACGCAGUGGCGAACGGGUGAGUAACGCGUUAUCAACCUGCCCUUCAGAGGGGGACAACAGUUUAAAACGACUGCUAAUACCGCAUCCUGAAGGAGGGGAUUGCGUUUGAUUGGCUAGUUGGGGGGGUAACGGCCCACCAAGGCGAUGAUCAGUAGGCGGGCUGAGAGGAGGGACGGGCACAACGGGAAUGAGACAAGGGCCAGAAUUCUACGGGGGGGAGGAAGGGGGGAACUUCCGGAAGUGACGAAAGGCUGGCGUAGCAACGGCGCGUGAGUGAUGAAGGCCUUCGGGUUGUAAAGCUCUGUUAAUCGGGACGCGGUACCGGAAUAGAAAGCCACGGCUAACUACGUGCCAGCAGCCGCGGUAAUUC
rnacentral:rRNA from 1 species